GAUGAACGCUGGCGGCGUGCCUAACACAUGCAAGUCGUACGAGAAAGCCGGCUUCGGCUGGUGAGUAAAGUGGCGCACGGGUGAGUAACGCGUGGAUAAUCUGCCCUUAAGUGUGGAAUAACGUACCGAAAGGUGCGCUAAUACCGCAUAAUGCCUGGCAACACAAGUUGUCCGGCCAAAGAAGGCCUCUGUUUACAAGCUUUCGCUUCAGGAUGAGUCCGCGUACCAUUAGCUUGUUGGUGGGGUAAUGGCCUACCAAGGCUGCGAUGGUUAGCUGGUCUGAGAGGAUGAUCAGCCACACUGGAACUGAGACACGGUCCAGACUCCUACGGGAGGCAGCAGUGAGGAAUAUUGCGCAAUGGGGGCAACCCUGACGCAGCAACGCCGCGUGAGUGAGGAAGGUUUUCGGACUGUAAAGUACUAUAUUGGGGAAGAACACAAUGACGGUACCCAAGAGAAAAAGCCCCGGCUAACUACGUGCCAGCAGCCGCGGUAAACA
rnacentral:rRNA from 1 species